UACAGAGACUGCAAGCGUUAUUCGGAUUCACUGGGCGUAAAGGGUGCGCAGGCGGUCGGGUGUGUCAGAUGUGAAAUCCCGAGGCCCAACCUCGGAACUGCGUCUGAAACUACUCGACUAGAGUACUGGAGAGGGUAACGGAAUUCACGGUGUAGCAGUGAAAUGCGUAGAUAUCGUGAGGAACACCAGAGGCGAAGGCGGUUACCUGGACAGUUACUGACGCUCAGGCACGAAAGCAUGGGGAGCAAAAGGG
rnacentral:rRNA from 1 species